AUGUGUUUUUUCACAGUAAUUUCGCUGAAUACAUUCCCCAUGAAGACUGUGAAUGGAAAGAGUGCCCUGCUUCCACAUGACUUGGCUGCAGCUGGUGAACCUUUUAAUCAAUGCUUGGAACAUAAAACACCUCAAAGCGUCGUCCUCCUGCACUGCCAAGGCCAACGAGAAAGAGACUGCCUGACAGUAUGACAAGAUGAUGCACCGCACUGAGGGUGGAGGUCUUCGCGUACAUGCUUACUAAUGAGAUGGUUCUCUCCAUCUCUCUUGUGUCCUUCCCUCUUAAACCCCUCCAGGCUGGGUUUUAAUCUUUUGUAAAGGAUUCUUGGCAUCAGUUCUACCUCUGUAGUAUAGACUGUUGGGUCUGUGGAGUUUCUGGAAUUGGGUGUGUGAAAUAUUUCAAUGUCGUAAACAGAUAACACUCCUAUCCCUAGAUUUGUUAACUAAUUAGUUUUGCUGGUUUCAUUUCACAUCCCAAAUUUGUGGGGAAUUAAACACAGUACCUGUAUUGUUUAUCACACACAAGUAAACAAAAAUGUCCUAAAAUGAAAUGGUGAAAUAUACUGUAUGUAUAUGUAUGUUAUAGACUAGGGUUGUAACGGCAUGAUUUUCACGGUCUGAUAACAGCCUCAGAAAAUACUAGUUUCACAGUCCCGCGCUCUGCGUACUAUAUAAUACACUGUGAUUUGAUAUUGAUUCAUUUGUAAAUACUCCAGAUACAUUUUUCUUAAGGAAAAAAAUCUCUUGGUGGAAAAAAUCAACUAUGCUGCCUGUCAACUAUAACUCAUUCAGCCUAUAAUAUUCACACUCAAAUAAAAAUGCUGUAUGGCUUACAGUACAAACAUUUAAUUGCACACAUCACAAAAACGUACAGACCCCAAACUUGAGGUGGUUUUUGACUUUCGAAAAAAGGUUGAUGUGAAUAAUGGGAGUAAAAAUGCGAAUAAACUCCUGCAAGCGCAUCAAAAAAGUCAUGUGACUUUGCGCUAUGAAACGGAAAACCUGACUAACCAGCGGACCGAUCUCAUUCCACAGCAUCUGAAAUGUUGUUAUGGUCAUUUGAAAAUGCACGUGCAAAGUCUGUAAUCAAAGUAUUUCUGUAUAAUUGCCUCCCAGAAAUGUCUUACACGACUGCGUUCCCAAACAGCAACAUCCCAAAAAGCAAUGACCUCAUUCACUGUGUUUCGUCUGCUCGCUCUGAGGCGCAAGUAUGAAAAUUAUUAUAUUUUUCCUACUUUUCUUAGUGAUUUAUUGUGCCAGUUUAUCAGGAAGUGAUGAUUU
ensembl:lncRNA